CCGCACUUCGGUGCGGCAGAAAGUGGCGCACGGGUGAGUAACACGUGGGAACCUACCCUUUGGUUCGGAAUAACCGCGGGAAACUGCGGCUAAUACCGGAUAAGCCCCUCGGGGGAAAGAUUUAUCGCCAAUGGAUGGGCCCGCGCCGGAUUAGCUAGUUGGUAGGGUAACGGCCUACCAAGGCUUCGAUCCGUAGCUGGUCUGAGAGGACGGUCAGCCACACUGGGACUGAGACACGGCCCAGACUCCUACGGGAGGCAGCAGUGGGGAAUAUUGGACAAUGGGCGCAAGCCUGAUCCAGCCAUGCCGCGUGAGUGAAGAAGGCCCUAGGGUUGUAAAGCUCUUUCAUCGGGGAAGAUAAUGACGGUACCCGAAAAAGAAGCCCCGGCUAACUCCGUGCCAGCAGCCGCGGUAAUACGGAGGGGGCUAGCGUUGUUCGGAAUUACUGGGCGUAAAGAGCGCGUAGGCGGUUUACCAAAUUGGGGGUGAAAUCCCGGGGCUUAACUCCGGAACUGCCCUCAAAACUGGUAGGCUAGAGUGUGGGAGAGGAGAGUGGAAUUCCCAGUGUAGAGGUGAAAUUCGUAGAUAUUGGGAAGAACACCAGUGGCGAAGGCGGCUCUCUGGACCACAACUGACGCUGAGGCGCGAA
rnacentral:rRNA from 1 species